rnacentral:rRNA from 1 species
CGGCGAGUGAAGCGGGAAGAGCUCAAAUUUGAAAUCUGGUAGCCUUCGGUUGCCCGAGUUGUAAUCUAGAGAAGUGUUUUCCGCGUUGGCCCAUGUACAAGUCCCUUGGAACAGGGCGUCAUAGAGGGUGAGAAUCCCGUCCUUGACAUGGACCCCCAAUGCUUUGUGAUACACUUUCAACGAGUCGAGUUGUUUGGGAAUGCAGCUCAAAAUGGGUGGUGAAUUCCAUCUAAAGCUAAAUAUUGGCGAGAGACCGAUAGCGAACAAGUACCGUGAGGGAAAGAUGAAAAGCACUUUGGAAAGAGAGUUAAACAGUACGUGAAAUUGUUGAAAGGGAAACGAUUGAAGUCAGUCAUGCUCUUUGGAUUAAGCCGUUCUGCGGUGUAUUUCAUUGAGCGGGGUCAACAUCAGUUUUGAUCGCUGGAAAAGGGCAGGAGGAAGGUAGCACUCUCGGGUGAACUUAUAGCCUCUUGUCGUAUACAGUGAUUGGGACUGAGGAACGCAGCAUGCCUUUUGGCCGGGAUUCGUCCACGUACAUGCUUAGGAUGUUGACAUAAUGGCUUUAAACGACCCG